CAAGUCGAACGAACUCUGGUAUUGAUUGGUGCUUGCAUCAUGAUUUACAUUUGAGUGAGUGGCGAACUGGUGAGUAACACGUGGGAAACCUGCCCAGAAGCGGGGGAUAACACCUGGAAACAGAUGCUAAUACCGCAUAACAACUUGGACCGCAUGGUCCGAGUUUGAAAGAUGGCUUCGGCUAUCACUUUUGGAUGGUCCCGCGGCGUAUUAGCUAGAUGGUGGGGUAACGGCUCACCAUGGCAAUGAUACGUAGCCGACCUGAGAGGGUAAUCGGCCACAUUGGGACUGAGACACGGCCCAAACUCCUACGGGAGGCAGCAGUAGGGAAUCUUCCACAAUGGACGAAAGUCUGAUGGAGCAACGCCGCGUGAGUGAAGAAGGGUUUCGGCUCGUAAAACUCUGUUGUUAAAGAAGAACAUAUCUGAGAGUAACUGUUCAGGUAUUGACGGUAUUUAACCAGAAAGCCACGGCUAACUACGUGCCAGCAGCCGCGGUAAUACGUAGGUGGCAAGCGUUGUCCGGAUUUAUUGGGCGUAAAGCGAGCGCAGGCGGUUUUUUAAGUCUGAUGUGAAAGCCUUCGGCUCAACCGAAGAAGUGCAUCGGAAACUGGGAAACUUGAGUGCAGAAGAGGACAGUGGAC
rnacentral:rRNA from 2 species